GUCCCUGUAGCUCAACGGAUAGAGCAGGGCUCUUCUAAGGCCUUGAUGCAGGUUCGAUUCCUGCCGGGGACA
rnacentral:tRNA from 1 species